AGUGGGGGAGGAAGAAGAGGAGGAGGAGGAGUUGGAAGGGGAGGAGGAAGAGGGGGAGCAGGAAGAGGGGCAGAAGGAAGAAGAAGAGGGGGAGGAGAAAGAGAAAGAAGAGUAAGAGGAGGGGGAAGAAAGACAAGGGGAAGGGGAGGAGGAGGAGGACGGGGAGGAGCUUCGCCGCGGCCUGCUCCGCCCAGCCGGGGUCGGUGGCCGCAUGGCUUCGGUCUCCUCUGCGACCUUCUCGGGCCACGGGGCUCGGUCCCUACUGCAAUUCCUGCGGCUGGUAGGGCAGCUCAAGAGAGUCCCACGGACUGGCUGGGUAUACAGAAAUGUCCAGAGGCCGGAGAGCGUUUCAGAUCACAUGUACCGGAUGGCAGUUAUGGCUAUGGUGAUCAAAGAUGACCGUCUUAACAAAGACCGACAGUCUCACUCUGUCGCCCAGGCUGGAGUGCAGUGGUGCAGUGUCAGCCAACUACAACCUCCACCUCCCAGAUUCAAAGGAUUCUCCUGCCUGAGCCUCCUGAGUAGCUGGGAUUACAGAUGUGUACGCCUAGCCCUGGUUCAUGAUAUGGCAGAAUGCAUCGUUGGGGACAUAGCACCAGCAGAUAACAUCCCCAAAGAAGAAAAACAUAGGCGAGAAGAGGAAGCUAUGAAGCAGAUAACCCAGCUCCUACCAGAGGACCUCAGAAAGGAGCUCUAUGAACUUUGGGAAGUAAGUAUAUAUGGAGUACGAGACCCAAUCUAGUGCAGAAGCCAAAUUUGUGAAGCAGCUAGACCAAUGUGAGAUGAUUCUUCAAGCAUCUGAAUAUGAAGACCUUGAACACAAACCUGGGAGACUGCAAGACUUCUAUGAUUCCACAGCAGGAAAAUUCAAUCACCCUGAGAUAGUCCAGCUUGUUUCUGAACUUGAGGCAGAAAGAAACGCUAACAUAGCUGCAGCUGCCAGUGAGCCACACUCCUGAGACACUCUCUAAAUUGCUGCACUCCUGUAACAAACAUUAUUUUUCCAUUUCAUUGUAUUGUGUUUUGCCAUUGUUGGUCUGUUGAUUUCCCUAGAUGUGAGUCUGUUUGUUUUCAAUUGUCUGGACUUCAGCAAGAAAUGUGAUACAACUUGGGCACUAAAAGAAGCCACAGAACAGGAAGCGGUCAUGAAAGUGCCAUGGAUGAAGACUGGAGGUGGCAGUGCCUGUUUAUGAACUAAAUAAAUAAAUAUUAAACGCCUAAAA